UCUGUUCUUUAGCAUGGGGAGAGCCUUAAGUCAUGGUUUCACCCUUGAUCAAUAAUCUUUCUGUUCCACCAUGGUAAUUAAUGGGAUGUUUGGCUCUGCUAUCACAAGGUUUGUUGAGCUUGUUUUGAAUUAUUGUGCAUUAUGAUUCAAGUUGCAAAAAGCCCUACUCGUAUUGGCUUUUAAAAAGGGAUACAUUGGUUCAUGGACUCAAACAGGAUGGAGGUAUUUGGCGCUUCGAGAGUUGUUGGAUUUAGGGCUCCAAUCAGGUCAUGGCAAUAUGCCCUACCCACCCUCAGGCCUCCCCCUCCCCCCCGUUGUAUUGCAUGGCAUGAGCCCAACGCUGUGUCCUCUUGGCAACGCCCUGGUAGUUCUGUGCUGGAGGUUCUUCUCUUUGUUCUGCAUUUUUUGUUUGUUGACUCCUUCUCAGCGGCCUCCCUUCAUAGCAGUAAAAGUGCUGUGGUAGCUCCUCUCCCCAUAUCUUCCCCUCACCAAAACCAAUAAAGAACAGAGGACUUUCUUCUCCCAGAAGCCCCAGGAAAAGUCCCAUCAUGAUUCACUGGCUCUGAUAGAGUCACAGGCCCAGCCCCGAGCCAAUAACUGAGGUCAGGGUAACACUGAUAUGCUCAUUGGCUCAUGGCUCGUCAGAGUUGGCAGCUUCUUCUGAACCUGUCAAAUGGUGGUGGGGUUGGGGGCUGGGGAGGUGGAGGGGGGCCAGGCACGGCUGACAGUGGGGAUGUUACAAGGGUUAGCUCCCUGGCUAGGUGGCACCCUCUCUUACAAGGCAGCAUAUCACAGUAGUUGAGAGUGUUGAGUAUGGAGCCUAAUGACCUUGGUUCCAAUAUGGGUGUAGCUAUGCCAUUUAAGGGCUAGGUGACCUUGGACAAGUUACCAAACCUCGUUGGGCCUCAGCUUCCUCAUCUGAAAAGUGGGGGAUGAUAGCAAUGUCCCCCCUAAGAUUGUCGUGACAUAAAUUUGAUUAUAUAUGCAUAAAACACUUGGAACAGAGAUUAGUAUGGGAUAAGAUCUAAAGUCUUCACCAUGACUGAGAGAGACUUAAUGAUCCUGAGGAGAAUGUAGGGGAAAUGUUCUGCAUAGCAAGUAUUGAAUAAAGGGCACGAGGUAAAGUGAUGGGAAGUUACCCCUUUAUUAGCUCAUCCAUCUCAGUAUGGACAGAAGAGCUUCCAGGUUCCGUACGUGCCCGUGAUGGGGUGUGGUUUACAUGGAGGAGACCUGGGGUGAGGUCAUAGCUGGAGAAUGCCAUUAAGGACAACCCGUUGUGAGAUUUGAUUCACAGACAUUGUUCUAGAACUUUAGACUCUGAUUCAUGGUUUUGCUGCCAGCCUUGGGAGCAGCAGCCGCUUCAGUUUGCGAUGAAACAUGCUGAUUUAUAAAACCAUUUAUAGCUCUCCUCCGUGCUUCACACAGCCAUGCCACAAAUGACUCAGAUAGGUCAACAUCCUAACUCUUCAGGAAAACUUUCCUAGAUCCUUCUGAUCUAGAUGUUCCUCCUCUUGGCUCCCUUGAGUCCACCAUUCCUGGAGAAACUGUUGCAGUUGGACGGUGAGCACUGAUUUACUUGUUUGUCGUCCUCACUCAUGUAGAAGCCGGGCAGAGACCCUGUCCGACUAGACUCACUAUCACCAGUGGCUAAUAGGUAAGUCCGCAGUGAAUUGAUGAAUACGUAUUUACUGAGCACCUACUGUUGCGGUGACUGUACUGUACUCUACUAGGCUUUUGGGACACCAAAAUCUUGUUUCUUUAAAGAUUGUAAUUUAGUGGAAAGAUGCACACAAGGCUAAUAAUUGCAUGUACUAUACAAUCUAGAACUGAUCAGUGCUUUGAGGGAAAACAACAGGAUGUUAGGAGACUGUGCAGUGGGAGGACACAGAGGUUGAAUAAACAGGACUUUUGCCUGCGUAGGAAUGUGGAGGGAAAAUUGCAAAGGCUUUCUGGUAAGAGACUUUGAGGUGUACUAAAUGAGUCAGUAGAUAUGUGAGGGAGUGGGGCAGAGGAGAAAGGGACCUAGCCUGCUUGGUCAUCACUGGGCAUCUGUUGACGUGGCUCGUUCUGUGUCCUUCUCCAGGUGAUAAUGCCCUGAGUCUUCUUCUUUGGAAUCCAAGCCUUCCUCAUUUCCCUUCUGACCUAUGCCUUCUCUGGUAAUGGGCAUUUGACUAGUGAUCAUGUGAUUAGUCUAGGGAUGAAUGUGAACCUAGGUCAAGUCUGGGAGUCUCAGCAAAAAUAUGAAGAAAGACACAUUUCUUUCACCACUUAGGAGUUUGUGUUCAAAAGAAAAGGGAAAAGAUAGAUGGAGACUCAUAGAUUCCUGAUGAUUUUUUUCAGCACCUGGAUCCAGCCGUGCCUAGAACUCCGUGGAUACAGUUGUGUCUAAAUCCACAUAUAUAGAAGGGCACCUUGGUGGCUCAAUCAGUUGAGUGUCCAACGCUUGAUUUCGGUUUUUAGGGUUGUGAGAUCGAGCCCUGUGCCAAGCGGGCAGUCUGCUUGGGAUUCCCUCUCCCUCUGCUUCUCCCCCUCUUAGGCUCUCUCUGCCUCUCUCUCUCUCUCAAAUAAAUAAAUAAAUUUUUAUAAAUUCACAUAUGUAUGGUUCUCAGCUAUUGGCUAAACAAUUCUCCCAUCCUUCUAUUUGGCUUAAGCUCAUUCUCACAGGGUUUUGGUUACUUGCAACUAAAAGGGUCUCUAUUAAUACAGUGAUUUUAACUGAUAUCACUCAUUUGCUAAAGCCAGAGGGGGCGGGCACCUAGGUCGGUUGCUGGAGCAUCUGACUCUUGGUUUUGGCUCAGGUCAUGAUCUCAGGGUUGUGGGAUCAGGCCCUGCAUCAGGGCUCCUUGCUCAGCAUGGAGUCGGCUUGAGAUUCUCUUCCUCUGGCCCCCAAACCCCACAGGCUCUCACUCUCUGUCUUUAAAAUAAAUAGAUACAUCUUUAAAAAUAUAUAUAUAGCCAAAGAGGGUGUGGGUAAAGGUGAGCUGAAGCCACCGUGGAGGUCAGUUAGCGGCAGAGGCAGCCUAAACCCCGCAGUUCCUCUGCUGAGAGGGAUUUCCCUGAGCCCUUGGGGUCUGCAGCCUCUGCCCCGAGUCCAGACCCUUGGGUCGGCGUCAGUGUGUCAGCAGCUGGGAACAGAUGCACUGAGGGACGACGCUACAGAGCUUCCCGGACUCUGGCAGGGCAUGGAGGCCCGGGUACCCAACGUGCUGGAAAACCACGGUGUGCCUCUGCAUUGGAGGAAUGAGGGACAACCCUGGUUCAAGAGCCAGCUCGGCAGGCAAACUGGUUUUUGCUGGACCUGCAGAGCCAGAAGCUGGGACUGUCGGUGGCUUCUGUGAGCACCAGCACUGGCGGGUCACAGCUGCCAUCUAGCGCCAGAGGUCACCUUUUGCAAGUUGUUUACUGGUUCUUUCCAGCUGGAAGGCUCUUGAGGGCCAAUUGGAAGAAGGUCAUUACCUCUGUCCUUAAGUCAGGAAGAACCUGAAAAUCAGAUUUUUUAAAAAAUAUUUUAUUUAUUUAUUUAUUCAUGAGACACAUAGAGAGAGAGGCAGAGACAAAGGCAGAGGGAGAAGCAGGCUCCAUGCAGGGAGCCCAAUGCGGGACUCGAUCCCAGGACCCCGGGAUCAGCCCUGAGCCAAAGGCAGACGCUCAACCGCUGAGCCACCCAGGUGUCCCUGAAAAUCAGAUUUGUGAUAUUGUCUCUCAUUUAGCUUAUUACAGAUGCCGUCCCAGAGCAUAAUUGAUUGGAUAGGGUGAAAGGUCAACCAUUCCACGAUGUUAACCUUCAGUCUCAUUUCAAACUAGGUAGGUAGGAAGGUAGGUAGGUGAUAGAUAGAUAGAUAGAUAGAUAGAUAGAUAGAUAGAUAGAUAGAGGAUAGAAAAUUUAAAAAAUAAAUCCUGUAAUGGUGAGAUUUAUGAUUCAGAGUUUUGGCAAGAAGCAGGUCGCGCACUCCAAAGCAGGGACUGGGGAGAUACGAAGGUGUGGGAAGGAGCCCAGGGAGCAGUCAAGGCCUGGGGAAGCGUGCCACGGUUAUGGCCGCAGGAAGCAACAACAACUCAGGUCUGAUGGAGCAAAAAGAGGGAGAGGACCCCGCAGGGUUUGUUCUAUGGAAGAGGCCACGUGACCCGUGCUACUGGGUGCCAACCACCGGUUCUUGGUUGGGUUCUUGAGAAGCACGCUAAGAGGAGCAUUCACGUGUAAGUAGUUUAUUAAGGGCAGAUGGGAAGUGAGGUGGGAGAGGCAGGGCAGUGGAGGUGAGAGAGCCAGGCCAGGUGUGCCCCCAGGCAAAGUCCUACAGGGGUCACCUCAGCCUGAUGCUGCAGGAGAGCUCCGGGGGGCUGCCUGGAAGCAGAGAGCCUUGGCAUUGAAACUCUCCACCUGCCAGUCACCUCGGCGGUCAGGUGGGAAGGAAGGGGAAGAAGCAUGGAAGUAACCUAGGCCCUGGGCCUUCUGAGUGUUCAGGUAGGGUGAAGGGCUGACCCUGGGGCUCUGAGAACACGGCCUGCAUGUGGCCAGUAGAUGCCGGAGUCAGAGGAGAACGCUGAAAGUUCAAAGGGAUCCAAAGGGAUCUUGGUGAAGCAACGACGUCUCCCCAUGUGAGGAUGGGAGCUAAUGAGAUGUGGGAUGUCAGUUGACUCCUGAAGACCACAGGUACGUGUAGGGCAGAAGGUGAUGCUCAGGAAAGAUACAGGGAGAGCCUCAGGACACAAUCAGAUGACAUUCUCAGCCAAUCCGAAGGGAGCCCUGCAGCAAACGUUGACCACGAGAGGAGUCAUGCACUGUGCAGGGCUGACCAGGGACUAGCACUCCUUGCCAUGUCCCGCUGUCAGCUGGUAGUUGACGUGGAAGGACACGGAUCCUGAAGGUGGUACAACUGGAGGCCCAGCCACUGGUGCUCCUUGAACUUGAAUAACAACUUCUUUUGGAAGGGGGAUCCAAACGGAGCACCUCCACAGCUGCCACACUUAAUGCAACGGAGCGUAUCUGGUUGCCUCAGCCAUCUCCCUAACACCGAGAAGGACGAGCCUGCUUGGCAGGAGUACGGGAACAAGGGUCAGGGGAGAAAUAGGGUCCUGGUGGUUCACAUGAGCAUAUGGAUCCAGCUGUGCCUGAGGCCCAUCCUAUGCUUGGCUUUCUUGGUUAUGUGAACUAAUAAAUAUGCUUUGCCUAAGCCAUUUAGAGCUUGGGAUCCCUGUUUCAGCAAAAGAAAGGUUCCUGAUAAUUCACUCCCUGAGCUUCAUUUUACUUACCUGUAAAAUGAGGCUCCCGAAGCCACCUUGCCGGGUUUGAGGAGGAAGAGGGACAAUUAAUGUAAAGCACAGGCACAGAGUAGCUGCCCAGUAAAUAGCCUCGGACAAAGCAAAGGAGGCAAAGCAUGGAAUGGACAUCUCUGGAAGCCCCUCUGUGUCCGGGGCUGGCCAGGGGGCUGAGUCCAGUACUCGGCAAAGACCAGUGCUGGGCUUGGACCGUCCACAGGUAUCCAGCUGUAACGGAGGACUGGCCUCUUGAGUCGCUGUGAGCCUGGGGCUUCUCUGCAAUGAGUGGUCCCUGACCCAGCGCGUUAUUGUCCAUGUAGGAGGAAAAGAAAGUCUUCUUUCUGGCCAAAGAUGAAGAUUCUCAUCCUCUUUUUCGUGGCCUGGACAGUUCUUUGAAUUUUUAUUUGUUAUUGUUGUUUGCAAACUAUUCCUUUGGAGAAGUGUGCAAGGUUUAUAACAAAAUAAAAAGAAUAAAUAUGACCACA